UUACAAAAAUUUUCAGUAUAAUAUGGAGUAAUUGCAAAGAAGAAUAAGGAUGCAAAAAAGCUAUUUAAAAAUGGUUAUUACAUCAUGAUAUGCAUUUUAGACAAACAAUUAAUUUUGAUUAUGAAGACUUUUUGACAAAUAAGAGUAAAGUCGGUUAAUACUAGUUAGAGCCUGUUCAAAAAGAAGAUUUUAACAAUAUUUUACAAAAAGCUUUAUUUGAUUUGUCACAAGAGAUGGUGAUAAUCAAUAUGCCUGUACAAGUGGGCUUACUUAGAGAAUGAAGAUGAUGGCUAUGACAUUGAAUUUUAAAGGGAAUCCUACCUUUAUAGCUAAGCUUUUAGUUGUUUAUUCAAUUAUUUUAUUUUAUAUGUUGACAGAGGAGAUGGUUGAUAAGUAAUCUUUUAAAGUUAUUGUAUUUAGUUUGUCUUUUGUAAUAAUGGUUGUGAUGAGAUUACGGACUUAUAAAAAUGCAUCAAGUCCUUGUGUUUAUGGUCACUUUUCCUUCAUCUAUUGAAGGGAUUGAGGUUUGUGUUUUAGGCAUACAAAAAUUUUAUAGCUUCUCCUCUUUAAGUUUUAUCUACUUUGUAAAAUCUGUGUUAUGAAUAAAAGUUUAAUCUAUUAUUCAAAUCCUUUUUAUUUAUUUAUUUAUUCUUUUUCUAGAAAAAUGUUCUGACUUAAUUAUUUCCUAAUUGUCUCUUAGGAAGAUAUUGGAUAAGCAUGAGUAAGUUGUUAGUUGUUAUUGUUACCGACUACUUUUUUUUUAUUAGGCAAUUACAAUUAAUUAUCACUAUUUCACCAUUUUAUUUCUUGUGCAUGCCAAACAGAUGAUGAUUUUCAUGGAACCAUUGGCAAGAAAUUGAGAAAACAAGUUUAAGGCUUUGUUUUAGUAACUGUAGCAUUUUAUGCUAUUACUUCUAAGGUCACAAGAGA
rnacentral:misc_RNA from 1 species